GAUGAACGCUGGCGGCGUGCCUAAUACAUGCAAGUCGAGCGAACAGACGAGGAGCUUGCUCCUCUGACGUUAGCGGCGGACGGGUGAGUAACACGUGGAUAACCUACCUAUAAGACUGGGAUAACUUCGGGAAACCGGAGCUAAUACCGGAUAAUAUAUUGAACCGCAUGGUUCAAUAGUGAAAGACGGUUUUGCUGUCACUUAUAGAUGGAUCCGCGCCGCAUUAGCUAGUUGGUAAGGUAACGGCUUACCAAGGCGGCGAUGCGUAGCCGACCUGAGAGGGGGAUCGGCCACAAUGGAAAUGAGACACGGGCCAAAAUCCUUAGGGAGGGCGGAGUAGGGAAUCUUCCGGCAUGGGCGGAAGGCUGACGGAGGAACGGCGGGGGAGUGAAGAAGGUUUUCGGAUCGGAAAACCCUGUUUUUAGGGAAGAACAAAUGGUGUAGUAACUUAUGCCGGCUUGACGGUAACCAAAUAGAAAGGCAAGGCUUAAUACGGU
rnacentral:rRNA from 1 species